CGCGAGGUAGAGCAGUUGGCAGCUCGUCGGGCUCAUAACCCGGAGGUCGCAGGUUCGAGUCCUGUCCUCGCUA
rnacentral:tRNA from 1 species